CGGCGUGCCUAACACAUGCAAGUCGAACGGAGUAGAACGCUGAAUUGAAGGUAGCUUGCUACUGGAUUUUCUUGUUCUGCUUAGUGGCGGACUGGUGAGUAACACGUAAGCAAUCUGCCUAUCAGAGGGGAACAACAGUUAGAAAUGACUGCUAAUACCGCAUAUGCCUAAGUAACACAUGUUACAAUAGGGAAAGGAGCAAUCCGCUGAUAGAUGAGCUUGCGUCUGAUUAGAUAGUUGGCAGGGUAACGGCCUACCAAGGCGACGAUCAGUAGCCGGCCUGAGAGGGUGAACGGCCACAUUGGGACUGAGACACGGCCCAAACUCCUACGGGAGGCAGCAGUGGGGAAUAUUGCACAAUGGGGGAAACCCUGAUGCAGCGACGCCGCGUGAGCGAUGAAGUAUUUCGGUAUGUAAAGCUCUAUCAGCAGGGAAGAAAAUGACGGUACCUGACUAAGAAGCACCGGCUAAAUACGUG
rnacentral:rRNA from 1 species